CCCUACGGGGCGCAGCAGUGGGGAAUAUUGGGCAAUGGGCGCAAGCCUGACCCAGCAACGCCGCGUGAAGGAAGAAGGCUUUCGGGUUGUAAACUUCUUUUCUCAGGGACGAAGCAAGUGACGGUACCUGAGGAAUAAGCCACGGCUAACUACGUGCCAGCGGCCGCGGUAAUACGUAGGGAGCAAGCGUUAUCCGGAUUUACUGGGUGUAAAGGGCGUGUAGGCGGGCCUGCAAGUCAGAAGUGAAAUCUGGGGGCUUAA
rnacentral:rRNA from 1 species